GCAUAUCAAUAAGCGGAGGAAAAGAACCCAACAGGGAUUGCCCCAGUAACGGCGAGUGAAGCGGCAACAGCUCAAAUUUGAAAUCUGGCCCCCCGGCCCGAGUUGUAAUUUGGAGAGGAUGCUUCUGGCGCGGCGCCGUCCGAGUUCCUUGGAACAGGACGCCACAGAGGGUGAGAGCCCCGUACGGACGGACGCCUAGCCUCUACGAAGCUCCUUCGACGAGUCGAGUAGUUUGGGAAUGCUGCUCAAAAUGGGAGGUAAAUUUCUUCUAAAGCUAAAUACCGGCCAGAGACCGAUAGCGCACAAGUAGAGUGAUCGAAAGAUGAAAAGCACUUUGAAAAGAGGGUUAAAAAGUACGUGAAAUUGUUGAAAGGGAAGCGCCUGUGACCAGACUUGCGCCCCGCGGACCACCCGGCGUUCUCGCCGGUGCACUCUGCGGUGCGCAGGCCAGCAUCGGUUCUCCCAGGGGGACAAAGGCCGCGGGAACGUAGCUCCUUCGGGAGUGUUAUAGCCCGCGGCGGCAUGCCCCUGGGGGGACCGAGGACCGCGCUUCGGCAAGGAUGCUGGCGUAAUGGUCACCAGCGACCCGUCUUGAAACACGGACCAAGGAGUCAAGCAUUGGGGCGAGUGUAUGGGUGCCAAACCCGCACGCGAAAUGAAAGUAAACGCAGGUGAGAGCUUCGGCGCAUCAUCGACCGAUCCUGAUGUCUUCGGAUGGAUUUGAGUAAGAGCCUUACCGCUUGGACCCGAAAGAUGGUGAACUAUGCCUGAAUAGGGUGAAGCCAGAGGAAACUCUGGUGGAGGCUCGCAGCGGUUCUGACGUGCAAAUCGAUCGUCAAAUUUGGGCAUGGGGCGAAAGACUAAUCGAACCAUCUAGUAGCUGGUUACCGCCGAAGUU
rnacentral:rRNA from 1 species